rnacentral:rRNA from 1 species
AACGAACGCUGGCGGCAUGCCUAACACAUGCAAGUCGAACGAGAGCUUCGGGACUAGUGGCGCACGGGUGCGUAACGCGUGGGAACCUGCCCCUAGGUUCGGCAUAACUCUCCGAAAGGGGUGCUAACACCGGACAAUGUCUUCGGACCAAAGAUUUAUCGCCUUUGGAUGGGCCCGCGUUGGAUUAGCUUGUUGGUAGGGUAAAAGCCUACCAAGGCGACGAUCCAUAGCUGGUCUGAGAGGAUGAUCAGCCACACUGGGACUGAGACACGGCCCAGACUCCUACGGGAGGCAGCAGUGGGGAAUAUUGGACAAUGGGCGAAAGCCUGAUCCAGCAAUGCCGCGUGAGUGAUGAAGGCCUUAGGGUUGUAAAGCUCUUUUACCCGGGAUGAUAAUGACAGUACCGGGAGAAUAAGCUCCGGCUAACUCCGUG